AUUUGUGGAGAAAGAAAGGGGCAAUGGGAUUUGGCUUUAUCUCUUGCAGAGUUCUCCUACAAUAACUCCAAGCAUAGAUCCACAGGAAGGAGCCCUUUUUCCAUUGUCUACACUAAAGUUCCAACACAUGUGGUGGACCUGGUGAAGCUGCCAUCAAGGGGAAACUCAAAAUCAGCAUUGUCCUUUGCUGAUAAUUACACCGAGUUAUUUGAAGAGAUUCGCGGCGCUUUGGAAGCACAAAAUCAGAAAUAUAAACUUGCUGAUUGCAAAAAGAGGCCAAAAUCAUUCCAAGUCGGUGAUAAGGUGAUGUGGUCUACCUCCGAAAAGAGAGGCUGCCUUUAGGUGUUAAAGGGAAACUUAGGCAGCGAAGGUAUGGGCCCUUCUCUAUCAUGAGGAAGAUAAAUGAUAAUGCUUAUGUGAUAGAUCUUCCAAGUGACAUGGGUAUCUCCAACACUUUCAAUGUUGCGGACUUGACUCUCUACCAUCCAGAAGAAGCGCUCAAUGAAGAUAACUCGAGGGCGAGUUCCAAACAACCAGGGGAGAAUGAUGAGGAACACUAGAUGAGAAGGAAGAAAACACAUGCCAGAUCUGUUUGGCUACUUCUAGAUGCUUCCACUCUAGUGAUAUUCUGUGCGCCAACCCCUACAGAAUAAUGCCCAGUCUAAUUUCAGCAGUGGGCAUGACAGCCUCAAACUUCUCUCUUCAAUAUUGAAGAAGCGGCUUACUCAGAUCAAUGGGCAUGCACUUAGAAAAAUAGCUAAAGAGUACGAGAUAUUCCUAGAGUAAAUAAAGGGCAUGCUGUGCUCAUAAGUUAGACAUAAGCAAAAUGUUAUUUAUUAUGCUCCUGUUGUAUCCUCGGACAUUUUCUUCCACCUACCAAUACCCCAGUAUUGAAUAUCUACUUUCCCACCGUCGUACAGAAACUGAUGUUAGUAUUUGUGCAUACUCUUUGUCUUAAGUGGGCUCUCUUUUAAAAAAGCAUGCCUUUAUAUUACCCAAA